rnacentral:rRNA from 1 species
AGGUCCAGCCUGCCCAGUGACCACAAGUUCAACGGCCGCGGUAUUUUGACCGUGCAAAGGUAGCGCAAUCACUUGUCUUUUAAAUAGAGACCUGUAUGAAUGGCUAAACGAGGGCUUAACUGUCUCCCUUUUCAGGUCAGUGAAAUUGAUCUACCCGUGCAGAAGCGGGUAUAACAAUACAAGACGAGAAGACCCUUUGGAGCUUAAGGUACAAAACUCAACCACGUCAAGCAACUUAAUAAAAAGUAAAAACUUUGUGAAAUAUGAGAUUCUACCUUCGGUUGGGGCGACCACGGAGGAAAAAUAAGCCUCCAAGUGGAUCGGGACAAACUCCUAAAACCAAGAGAGACAUCUCCAAGCCACAGAACAUCUGACCAAACAUGAUCCGGCCACCAGGACCGAUCAACGAACCAAGUUACCCUAGGGAUAACAGCGCAAUCCCCUCCCAGAGUCCAUAUCGACGAGGGGGUUUACGACCUCGAUGUUGGAUCAGGACAUCCUAAUGGUGCAGCCGCUAUUAAGGGUUCGUUUGUUCAACGAUUAAAGUCCUACGUGAUCUGAGUUCAGACCGG